rnacentral:rRNA from 1 species
UCCGUAGGUGAACCUGCGGAAGGAUCAUUACCCUUCUAUCAGGGGAUGGGCGCCAGCCUUCGGGGCUCUUGCUUCGCUUGGCUGCGUCUGUCUCUUCUGAUUCUACCCAUGUCUUUUGCGCACCCUUUGUUUCCUUGGUGGGCUUGCCUGCCUGUAGGACACACCCAAACCACUUGUAAUUGCAGUCAGCGUCAGUACACAAUGUAAUUAUUACAACUUUCAACAACGGAUCUCUUGGUUCUAGCAUCGAUGAAGAACGCAGCGAAAUGCGAUAAGUAGUGUGAAUUGCAGAAUUCAGUGAAUCAUCGAAUCUUUGAACGCACAUUGCGCCCCUUGGUAUUCCAUGGGGCAUGCCUGUUCGAGCGUCAUUUGUACCCUCAAGCUUUGCUUGGUGUUGGGUGUUUGUCCACUGCCCUUGUGCAGGACGGACUCGCCUUAAAACAAUUGGCAGCCGGCAGAUUGGCCUGGAGCGCGGCACAUUUUGCGCCCCUGGUCGACACUGUUGGCAUCCAUCAAGACCUUCUUUUAGCUCUUGACCUCGGAUCAGGUAGGGAUACCCGCUGAACUUAAGCAUAUCAAUAAGCGGAGGAA